CUCACUUUAAAUUCAUGCUCUUCUGUUUUAAAUUCACCAAUAAAGAGUAAGCCCUCAAAAUCCUAGGCCCCCACCCCCAUAAAAGCAGGACCCAGGCCUGUGCACUCUCUCUCUAUCCUCACGGCCUUGCUAUGUGGCCCCCGGUGUGCUGUGCAACUUCCAGGUCUGAAUACCCUAAAGGGAACCCAUUAGGACCCACUAUAAGCAGAGGACAGGAAGUGAUGCUCCAUAUAAAGAUGAAGAAACCAAGUCCACUGGCUGAUAAAUGACAGAGCUGGAACCAGACCUCAAGUCUCCUAAUGUUUAUUCAGUGCCUCUACUGAUGCUUGGUGAUAAAAAUGUAUCAAUGUAUAAUGUAGUUAGUAUGAUGCUUCAUUUCAUGUGUUAACUUGACUGGGCCGUGGAAAAAUCAGAUAUUUCCUCAAACAUUGUGUUGGUGUUUCUGUGA